AUUGGUAACCUGCCUCGAAGUCGGGCAUAACUCCGCGAAAGCGGAGCUAAUACCACGAUGGACAUGGGGGGACGCAAGUCAUUCCUAUGUAAAGAUUUAUCGCUUCGAGAGGGGCCUAUGGUCUAUCAGCUUGUUGGUGAGGUAACGGCUCACCAAGGCUCUGACGGAUAGGGGGUGUGAGAGCACGACCCCCCUCACUGGGACUGAGACACUGCCCAGACACCUACGGGUGGCUGCAGUCGAGAAUCUUCCCCAAUGGCCGAAAGGCUGAGGGAGCGACGCCGCGUGCAGGACGAAGGGCUUCGGUCUGUAAACUGCUUUUCUCAGGGACGAACGAUGACGGUACCUGAGGAAUAAGAGGUUGCUAACUCUGUGCCAGCAGCAGCGGUAAUACAGAGACCUCAAACGUUGUCCGGAUUUACUGGGCGUAAAGGGUCCGUAGGCGGCUUUGUGCGUCGGUGGUCAAAUCUUGGAGCUCAACUCCAAGACCGCCAUCGAUACGGCAAGGCUCGAGCAUGGG
rnacentral:rRNA from 1 species